rnacentral:misc_RNA from 2 species
GGCGUUGCCGGUCUGGCAACGCC